GUGCAAGCGCACACCGCUAAACGGUGAAGCCGCGAAUGGCUCAUUACAGCAGUCACUGUUCGGAAGAACUGGUGUUCACUUGGAUAACUGUGGAAAUUCUAGAGCUAAUACAUGCCUCGAAGAUCGGACGGGAUCUUUCCUAUUUCAUGCCCACCAGGCAUACUGUAGCUUCGCAAAAUCACCGAAAAAUGCAAGUUCCUGCGUCGUCGCGUCGUCCUUUCUUCCUAUUGGCUGACCACUUUUCGUG
rnacentral:ncRNA from 1 species